rnacentral:rRNA from 1 species
GACGAACGCUGGCGGCGUGCUUAACACAUGCAAGUCGAACGGAAAGGCCUCUUUCGGGGGGUACUCGAGUGGCGAACGGGUGAGUAACACGUGAGUAACCUGCCCUUGACUUUGGGAUAACUUCAGGAAACUGGGGCUAAUACCGGAUAGGAGCUCCUGCUGCAUGGUGGGGGUUGGAAAGUUUCGGCGGUUGGGGAUGGACUCGCGGCUUAUCAGCUUGUUGGUGGGGUAGUGGCUUACCAAGGCUUUGACGGGUAGCCGGCCUGGGAGGGUGACCGGCCACAAUGGGACUGGGAUACGGCCCAGACUCCUACGGGGGGCAGCAGUGGGGAAUAUUGCACAAUGGGUGGAAGCCUGAUGCAGCAACGCCGUGUGCGGGAAGACGGCCUUCGGGUUGGAAACCGCUUUCGCUCAUGACGAAGCUUUGUGUGACGGUAGUGGGUAAAGAAGCACCGGCUAACUACGUG